GGAGUCGUGCCUGAAUUAAAGGACCACUUUGAUAGAGUGAAUUAUGAGGGUUAAAAUCCCCCCGACUCCU
rnacentral:tRNA from 1 species